UUAUCUCAUGCAAUAAGCAGAGCAACCUACUGGGCAUCAUAAUAUAAGGAAAGGAAGGGGCCCAACCUUGAAGAAGAACAUAUAUUCAAAUAGUGGAACUUUGGUGAGGAAAAAUAUCCCGGUUUCUUCUGAGGAUUGGAGACUAGUUGAUUCUAAAAAGAAGUUCGAGUUAUGGACAAAAGUGAAGGAAUACUAUGAGUUGGAUGAAUCUGGUAUAGAUUAUGUUAUAACAUCUGCA